AUGAAGAACACCCUCUCGGAGAUGCUCGUGACAACGGACAAGUCCCCAAGUACAUGGACGAAGGAGCACGACAAAAGGAACCGGAGAAGGCCUACAGGCCCCGGACAUCCGGACAUCCGGCCCCUGGAGAUGUCAACCACAGCAGCAGCUCAAUCGAAGACCACCUACACACACCGGACAUCCGGCUCAGCCCCAGACAUCCGGCCCAGCCCCGGAAAUCCAGCACCUCCUAUACAGAGAGAACCCGAAACCGGCCCCCGCCAGCCCGAACAUCCGACCCGACGUGAAGGCCCGGACAUCCAGCCCCUCCUGCCUGCGCGCAUUGUAUCUGGGCCGAGGCCCACGUACCCCUUCGCCCCCUAG
rnacentral:rRNA from 1 species